CCUACGGGAGGCAGCAGUGAGGAAUAUUGGUCAAUGGACGAGAGUCUGAACCAGCCAAGUAGCGUGAAGGAUGACUGCCCUAUGGGUUGUAAACUUCUUUUAUCUGGGAAUAAAAUGUUCCACGUGUGGGAUUUUGUAUGUACCAUAUGAAUAAGGAUCGGCUAACUCCGUGCCAGCACCCGCGGUACUACGGAGGAUCCGAGCGUUAUCCGGAUUUAUUGGGUUGAAAGGGAGCGUCGGUGGAUUGUUAAGUCAGUUGUGAAAGUUUUCGGCUAAACCGUAAAAUUGCAGUUGAAACUGGCAGUCGUGAGUACAGUAGAGGUGGGCGGAAUUCGUGGUGUAGCGGUGAAAUGCUUAGAUAUCACGAAGAACCCCGAUUGCGAAGGCAGCUUACUAAACUGUGACUGACAUUGAUGCUCGAAAGUGUGGGUAUCAAACAGGAUUAGAUACCCCUGUAGUC
rnacentral:rRNA from 1 species